UACGUAGGGACCAAGCGUUGUUCGGAUUUACUGGGCGUAAAGGGCGCGUAGGCGGCGUGGUAAGUCAGCUGUGAAAUCUCCGAGCUUAACUCGGAACGGUCAGCUGAUACUGCUGUGCUAGAGUACAGAAGGGGCAAUCGGAAUUCUUGGUGUAGCGGUGAAAUGCGUAGAUAUCGAGAGGAACACCUGCGGCGAAGGCGGGUUGCUGGGCUGACACUGACGCUGAGGCGCGAAAGCCAGGGGAGCGAACGGG
rnacentral:rRNA from 1 species